rnacentral:rRNA from 1 species
UGAGGAAUAUUGGGCAAUGCCCGAAAGGGUGACCCAGCAACGCCGCGUGGAGGAUGAAGGUCGUAAGAUUGUAAACUCCUGUUAGAGGGGAAGAAUAACUAAGUUUGGAGCUUAGUAUGACUGUACCCUCAGAGAAAGCCCCGGCUAACUACGUGCCAGCAGCCGCGGUAAUACGUAGGGGGCAAGCGUUGUCCGGAUUUACUGGGUGUAAAGGGCGCGCAGGCGGAAUGGAAAGUCAGUGGUGAAAUCCUACAGCUUAACUGUAGAACUGCCUUUGAUACUUUCACUCUUGAGUUCGGGAGAGAGAGACGGAAUUCCAGGUGUAGUGGUGAAAUACGUAGAUAUCUGGAAGAACACCAGUUGCGAAGGCGGUCUCUUGGUCCGAUACUGACGCUGAGGCGCGAAAGCGUGGGGAGCAAACA